CUACGGGACGCUCCAGUGAGGAAUAUUGCACAAUGGGGGGAACCCUGAUGCAGCAACGCCGCGUGGAGGAUGACGCAUUUCGGUGUGUAAACUCCUUUUAUAUGUCAAGAAAAUGACGGUAGCAUAUGAAUAGGCACCGGCUAACUCCGUGCCAGCAGCUGCGGUAAUACGGAGGGUGCAAGCGUUACUCGGAAUCACUGGGCGUAAAGGACGCGUAGGCGGGUUGGAAAGUCAGGUGUGAAAUCCUACAGCUUAACUGUAGAACUGCACUUGAAACUUCUAAUCUAGAGUAUGGGAGGGGGAGAUGGAAUUAGUGGUGUAGGGGUAAAAUCCGUAGAUAUCACUAGGAAUACCUAAAGCGAAGGCGAUCUCCUGGAACAUUACUGACGCUAAGGCGUGAAAGCGUGGGGAGCAAACAGGAUUAGAUACCCUAGUAGUC
rnacentral:rRNA from 1 species